GUCCCAGUAGCUCAGUUGGAUAGAGCAACAGCCUUCUAAGCUGUGGGCCGGGGGUUCGAAUCCUCCCUGGGACG
rnacentral:tRNA from 1 species